UACAUCGGAACGUGUCCCGUAGUGGGGGAUAGCCCGGCGAAAGCCGGAUUAAUACCGCAUAUGCUCUACGGAGGAAAGCGGGGGAUCGCAAGAUCUCGCGCUAUGGGAGCGGCCGAUGUCCGAUUAGCUUGUUGGUGGGGUAAUGGCCUACCAAGGCAACGAUCGGUAGCUGGUCUGAGAGGAUGAUCAGCCACACUGGGACUGAGACACGGCCCAG
rnacentral:rRNA from 1 species